rnacentral:rRNA from 1 species
CCUACGGGAGGCUGCAGUGGGGAAUAUUGGACAAUGGGGGCAACCCUGAUCCAGCCAUGCCGCGUGUGUGAAGAAGGCCCUCGGGUUGUAAAGCACUUUCAGUGAGGAAGAACGCCUGGUGGUUAAUACCCAUCAGGAAAGACAUCACUCACAGAAGAAGUACCGGCUAACUCCGUGCCAGCAGCCGCGGUAAUACGGAGGGUGCGAGCGUUAAUCGGAAUUACUGGGCGUAAAGCGCGCGUAGGUGGCUUGAUAAGCCGGUUGUGAAAGCCCCGGGCUCAACCUGGGAACGGCAUCCGGAACUGUGAAGCUAGAGUGCAGGAGAGGAAGGUAGAAUUCCCGGUGUAGCGGUGAAAUGCGUAGAGAUCGGGAGGAAUACCAGUGGCGAAGGCGGCCUUCUGGACUGACACUGACACUGAGGUGCGAAAGCGUGGGUAGCAAACAGGAUUAGAUACCCCUGUAGUC